UCCCUCUUAGCUCAGUUGGUAGAGCGCGUCACUAGUAUUCAAAGAGUGGAUUAGGAAAUGACGAGGUCAGUCGUUCGAGUCGGCUAGAGUGAA